rnacentral:rRNA from 1 species
GAGAGUUUGAUCCUGGCUCAGGAUGAACGCUAGCGGCAGGCCUAAUACAUGCAAGUCAAGGGGUAGCAAUACACCGGCGGACGGGUGCGUAACGCGUACACAACAUACCUUUGAGCGGGGGAUAGCGGUGGGAAACUGCCGGUAAUACCCCAUAACACUGCGAGGUGGCAUUACGUUGCAGUUAAAGUUUCGGCGCUCAGAGAUUGGUGUGCGUCUGAUUAGGUAGUUGGCGGGGUAACGGCCCACCAAGCCGACGAUCAGUAGGGGGUGUGAGAGCAUGGCCCCCCACAUGGGUACUGAGACACGGACCCAACUCCUACGGGAGGCAGCAGUAAGGAAUAUUGGACAAUGGAGGAAACUCUGAUCCAGCCAUGCCGCGUGAAGGAUGAAGGCGCUCUGCGUUGUAAACUUUCUUUUGAGUUGGGAAACAAAAAACGGGCUUGUCCUGGACUGAGGGUACCACUAGAAUAAGCACGGCUAACUCCGUGCCAGCAGCCGCGGUAAUACGGAGGGUGC